rnacentral:rRNA from 1 species
GAUGAACGCUGGCGGCGUGCCUAAUACAUGCAAGUCGAGCGAACGGACGAGAAGCUUGCUUCUCUGAUGUUAGCGGCGGACGGGUGAGUAACACGUGGAUAACCUACCUAUAAGACUGGGAUAACUUCGGGAAACCGGAGCUAAUACCGGAUAAUAUUUUGAACCGCAUGGUUCAAAAGUGAAAGACGGUCUUGCUGUCACUUAUAGAUGGAUCCGCGCUGCAUUAGCUAGUUGGUAAGGUAACGGCUUACCAAGGCAACGAUGCAUAGCCGACCUGAGAGGGUGAUCGGCCACACUGGAACUGAGACACGGUCCAGACUCCUACGGGAGGCAGCAGUAGGGAAUCUUCCGCAAUGGGCGAAAGCCUGACGGAGCAACGCCGCGUGAGUGAUGAAGGUCUUCGGAUCGUAAAACUCUGUUAUUAGGGAAGAACAUAUGUGUAAGUAACUGUGCACAUCUUGACGGUACCUAAUCAGAAAGCCACGGCUAACUACGUGCCAGCAGCCGCGGUAAUACGUAGGUGGCAAGCGUUAUCCGGAAUUAUUGGGCGUAAAGCGCGCGUAGGCGGUUUUUUAAGUCUGAUGUGAAAGCCCACGGCUCAACCGUGGAGGGUCAUUGGAAACUGGAAAACUUGAGUGCAGAAGAGGAAAGUGGAAUUCCAUGCGUAGCGGUGAAAUGCGCAGAGAUACGGAGGAACACCAGUGGCGAAGGCGACUUUCUGGUCUGUAACUGACGCUGAUGUGCGAAAGCGUGGGGAUCAAACAGGAUUAGAUACCCUGGUAGUCCACGCCGUAAACGAUGAGUGCUAAGUGUUAGGGGGUUUCCGCCCCUUAGUGCUGCAGCUAACGCAUUAAGCACUCCGCCUGGGGAGUACGACCGCAAGGUUGAAACUCAAAGGAAUUGACGGGGACCCGCACAAGCGGUGGAGCAUGUGGUUUAAUUCGAAGCAACGCGAAGAACCUUACCAAAUCUUGACAUCCUUUGACAACUCUAGAGAUAGAGCUUUCCCCUUCGGGGGACAAAGUGACAGGUGGUGCAUGGUUGUCGUCAGCUCGUGUCGUGAGAUGUUGGGUUAAGUCCCGCAACGAGCGCAACCCUUAAGCUUAGUUGCCAUCAUUAAGUUGGGCACUCUAAGUUGACUGCCGGUGACAAACCGGAGGAAGGUGGGGAUGACGUCAAAUCAUCAUGCCCCUUAUGAUUUGGGCUACACACGUGCUACAAUGGACAAUACAAAGGGCAGCGAAACCGCGAGGUCAAGCAAAUCCCAUAAAGUUGUUCUCAGUUCGGAUUGUAGUCUGCAACUCGACUACAUGAAGCUGGAAUCGCUAGUAAUCGUAGAUCAGCAUGCUACGGUGAAUACGUUCCCGGGUCU